rnacentral:rRNA from 1 species
UACGGAGGGUGCAAGCGUUAUCCGGAUUCACUGGGUUUAAAGGGAGCGUAGGUGGGUUGGUAAGUCAGUGGUGAAAUCCCCGAGCUUAACUUGGGAACUGCCAUUGAUACUAUCAGUCUUGAAUACUGUGGAGGUUAGCGGAAUAUGUCAUGUAGCGGUGAAAUGCUUAGAUAUGACAUAGAACACCAAUUGCGAAGGCAGCUGUCUACACAAUUAUUGACACUGAGGCUCGAAAGCGUGGGGAUCAAACAGG